UCAGGCCUAACACAUGCAAGUCGAGCGGCAGCGGGAAAGUAGCUUGCUACUUUUGCCGGCGAGCGGCGGACGGGUGAGUAAUGCCUGGGGAUCUGCCCAGUCGAGGGGGAUAACUACUGGAAACGGUAGCUAAUACCGCAUACGCCCUACGGGGGAAAGCAGGGGACCUUCGGGCCUUGCGCGAUUGGAUGAACCCAGGUGGGAUUAGCUAGUUGGUGAGGUAACGGCUCACCAAGGCGACGAUCCCUAGCUGGUCUGAGAGGAUGAUCAGCCACACUGGAAGUGAGACACGGUCCAGACUCCUACGGGAGGCAGCAGUGGGGAAUAUUGCACAAUGGGGGAAACCCUGAUGCAAAGGUGCCGCGUGUGUGAAGAA
rnacentral:rRNA from 1 species